GACGAACGCUGGCGGCGUGCCUAAUACAUGCAAGUCGAACGAACCGCGACUAAGUGCUUGCACUAAGCCAAGGUGAGUGGCGAACGGGUGAGUAACACGUGGGUAACCUACCUCAUAGUGGGGGAUAACAGUCGGAAACGACUGCUAAUACCGCAUAGGACAUAGGAUCACAUGAUUCGGUGAGGAAAGGUGGCGCAAGCUAUCGCUAAGCGAUGGAGCCGCGGUGCAUGAGCUAGUUGGUAGGGUAAAGGCCUACCAAGGCGAUGAUGCAUAGACGACCGGAGAGGGUGGUCGGCCACAUUGGGACUGAAACACGGCCAAAACGCCUACGGGAGGCAGCAGUAGGGAAUCUGCCGCAAUAGACGCAAGUCUGACAGAGCGACGCGGCGUGAGUGAAGAAGGUCUUCGGAUCGUAAAGCUCUGUUGUUAGAGAAGAACAGCGCAUAGAGUAACUGCUAUGCGUGUGACGGUAACUAACCAGAAAGCCACGGCUAACUACGUG
rnacentral:rRNA from 1 species